GUUUCUUAAGAACGAAGCAACAACAUACUCGAUACGCUAUACGUUUCGUACGCGGUGCGUAAGCGAAAAUCACGAAGAAAAAAAAAAGUAUAAAAAAAAAUAAUAAAAUAAUGGCGCGAGCAAGAAUCGAUCCCAGAACUUGGCGCACACAAUACGGGUGCCUAAACCACUACACUACGAAGGAUUCGCUUGAAAUUCAAUUAAAUUUACGCUGUUUUAUUUUUAACGACUUUAACGAUAUGGAAAUGUCGGACGAAUAUCCACUUCCUAUUAAAUAUUUCACAUCAUCAUGUUACACCAGACCAAUGCGGUCUAACAAGCCGUGUCGAUAGGCUAUGGACAAACAGUAUUCUAUAAGGCCGACAUGUUGUGUGAUCGAUGCAUAAAUAUAAAUAAAUCUUAAAUA